CUGCGGAAGGAUCAUUACCGUGGGGCUUCACGCCCCAUUGAGAUAGCACCCUUUGUUUAUAAGUACCCUUGUUUCCUCAGCGGGCUUGCCCGCCAUAAGGACAUUAAAAACCCUUUGUAGUAGCAGUAACUUCAGUUAAUAAUAAAUAUUAAAACUUUCAACAACAGAUCUCUUGGUUCUGGCAUCGAUGAAGAACGCAGCGAAAUGCGAUAAGUAGUGUAAAUUGCAGAAUUCAGUAAAUCAUCGAAUCUUUGAACGCACAUUGCGCCCUUCAGUAUUCCGUUAGGCAUGCCUGUUCGAGCGUCAUUUAAACCUUCAAGCUAUGCUUAGUGUUGGGUGUUUGUUCCGCCUCAGCGUGUGGACUCGCCUCAAAUUCAUUGGCAGCCGGUAUGUUGGCUUCGUGCGCAGCACAUUGCAAGCGACUUCAGCAGACUCCCCUUCCACAAGCCCUUUUUUACUUUGACCUCGGAUCAGGUAGGGAUACCCGCUGAACUUAAGCAUAUCAAUAAGCGGAGGAAAAGAAACCAACAGGGAUUGCUCUCAGUAACGGCGAGUGAAGCGGCAAUAGCUCAAAUUUGAAAUCUAGCCCUUUCAGGGUCCGAGUUGUAAUUUGCAGAGGGCGCUUUGGUGUCGGCAGCAGCCUAAGUUUCUUUAGAACAGGUCAUCAUAGAGGGUAAGAA
rnacentral:rRNA from 1 species